rnacentral:rRNA from 1 species
UACGUAGGUGGCAAGCGUUGUCCGGAUUUACUGGGCGUAAAGAGCGCGCAGGCGGUCGUUCAAGUCGCGUGUGAAAGCCCCCGGCUCAACUGGGGAGGGUCACGCGAUACUGAUCGACUCGAAGGCAGGAGAGGGUAGUGGAAUUCCCGAGUGUAGUGGUGAAAUGCGUAGAUAUCGGGAGGAACACCAGUGGCGAAGGCGACUACCUGGCCUGUUCUUGACGCUGAGGCGCGAAAGCUAGGGGAGCAAACGGG